rnacentral:tRNA from 2 species
GGGGCCAUAGCUCAGCCGGGAGAGCACCUGCUUUGCAAGCAGGGGGUCGGCGGUUCGAUCCCGCCUGGCUCCACCA